GAUGAACGCUGACAGAAUGCUUAACACAUGCAAGUCGAGGGGCAGCAGGGAUUUAGCUUGCUAAAUUCGCUGGCGACCGGCGCACGGGUGCGUAACGCGUAUCCAACUUUCCCGUUACUCUCGGAUAGCCUUCCGAAGGGGAGAUUAAUACGAGAUGGUGUUCUAAUUCCGCAUGUUAUUAGAACUAAAGAUUCAUCGGUAACGGAUAGGGAUGCGUGACAUUAGAUAGUUGGCGGGGUAACGGCCCACCAAGUCCACGGUGUCUAGGGGUUCUGAGAGGAAGGUCCCCCACGCUGGAACUGAGACACGGUCCAG
rnacentral:rRNA from 1 species